GAUGAAGAACGUAGCGAAAUGCGAUAAGUAAUGUGAAUUGCAGAAUUCAGUGAAUCAUCGAAUCUUUGAACGCACCUUGCGCCCUUUGGCCAUUCCGAAGGGCAUGCCUGUUUGAGUAUCAUGAACACCUCAACUCUUUAUGGUUUUCCAUGAUGAGCUUGGACUCUGGGGGUUUUGCUGGCUCACAGUCGGCUCCUCUAUAAUGAAUCAGCUUACCAGUGUUUGGUGGGUAUCAUGGGUGUGAUAACUAUCUACGCUUGUGGUUUUUCCACCAGGUAACCUUCAGCAGUGGAGGUUCGCUGGAGCUCAUAGAUGUCUCUCCUCAGUGAGGACAGCCCUUUGAAUGUUUGAUCUCAAAUCAGGUAGGACUACCCGCUGAACUUAAGCAUAUCAAUAAGCGGAGGA
rnacentral:misc_RNA from 1 species